CCUGCAUCAACACGAACCCAGAACCCGUUUAAUCAAUCUAUCAAUCCAUGUUAUCGGAACCCACACCUUCAUUCUAAUGUUUACACCUCACCUUCGCCCACCACUGAAUCGCAUUUCACCACAUCAAUGGAGCUUUCUUCUUCCCUCACGCUCUCCCGCACCUUCUCCUUCUCCUCCUCACUCACUCCCAUUGCACUCCAAAUUCAAAUCUUCCCCAAAACCCCACCCCCUCAACUUCUUCCGCUCCGCAUUUCGGCGGUGGCCAUAGACCCGCCGCAAGAGGAGCUUCCCAAGAACAGUCCCCAGCGCCUCCUCCAAGAGCUAGCGGAGCGCAAGCGACCCUACCGCCGAACCCCACGAACGCCCCCGCGGAAUCUCAUCCUCACGCGCCCACUAGACAACAAAAGAUUGGCCAACAGGUUGCUCAAUAGCCCUCAACUCUCCCUUAAAUCCUUCCCCUUGUUGAGCUCGUGCCUACCCUUUACUCAGCUCAACCACGGGGACAUGGCGUGGAUCGAGCAGCACCUGCUUGAAGUGAAGCAGGCGCUAGGGUACCCGCUGGAGCCCUCCCACACGCUCGGCGACGAUAACAACCCCGCCAGAGAGCUUGACACGCUUUUGUACCUGGCGUUUCAGCACGAGUCGACUCAGAGGAGCAAGGUGCGGCACGUGCGGUAUGGCCACUCCAGACUCUUCUUUCUGGGGCAGUACGUGCUGGAGCUGGCCUUCGCCGAGUUUUUCUUGCAGAGGUAUCCGAGGGAAUCGCCUGCCUCCAUCAGGGAGCGUGUUUUUGGGCUGAUCGGGAAGAGGAACAUGCCCAAGUGGAUUAAAGCUUCGAGCUUGCACAAUUUGGUGUUCCCAUAUGAUGAUAUGGAUAAGUUGGUCCGGAAGGAAAGGGAGGCAACUGUAAAGUCUGUGUUUUGGGCUUUGUUUGGAGCAAUCUAUCUCUGUUUUGGUAUGCCAGAAGUAUAUCGUGUUCUCUUUGAAGUCUUUGGAAUGGAUCCAGAUGCUGAGGAAUGCCAGCCCAAAUUGCGUAGGCAACUUGAAGAUAUAGAUCAUGUAUCUGCCGAGUUUGAAGGCAAGAUAAGCUGGCAGGAUAUGGUUGCGUACAAGCCUCCUGCAGAUGCCUUGUUUGCACAUCCACGGCUCUUCAGAGCUUGUGUUCCUCCAGGCAUGCAUCGGUUUAGAGGAAAUAUAUGGGAUUAUGAUUGCAAACCGCAAAUUAUGCGAGUCCUUGGAUAUCCACUAAAAAUGACAGAUAGAAUUCCAGAAAUUACUAAAGCCAGGAACAUAGAGCUUGAUCUUGGUUUGCAGCUAUGUUUCUUGCACCCAUCAAAGUACAAAUUUGAUCAUCCUCGAUUUUGCUACGAGAGAUUAGAAUACCUUGGCCAAAAGAUUCAGGAUUUGGUAAUGGCUGAAAGAUUGUUGAUGAAGCAUUUAGAUGCUCCAGGGUCAUGGUUACAAAAUAAGCACCGGAGGUUUCUUAUGAACAAGUUUUGUGGAAGAUAUUUGAGGUUGCUUUGGUUGGUCGAAUGAAAAGGUCGCCCUUUUUUCCAAUGAUAAAUUCUGGUGCUCCUUCUGUUGACUUAUGCAUGAGUUGGAAAGUCUAGGAGAGGAGAAGGAAGAAGAGUACCGAACGGUAAGGGAAUGGGAAGAAGAGUCCGAAUAAUAGGGGAAUAAGAGUGAAGGAGACAAACGGUAUCUACACUAAUAUCGAACGGUGGUUGCAAGGGAGGAAGGAGUGAAGCAUCGAACGAUGUUUAUACUAAUAUCGUUCGGUGGCUGCAAGGGGGAUGGAGUGAACGGUAUAAGGUUGAUAAUAUUGAACGGUAGAGAAUGAAUAAAAAGGGUGGGAAAGUUUGUUAGGUUGCUAGGGGGAGCAAUAGAGUAUAAAUAAACCUUCUGUGAUUCUAUUGAGUAGCUAGCCAUUUCUUACGUUUUGUAAACAGGUCUUGGACCUUGUUUGAGGAGGAUUAGGCUCCCAUUAUUGUAUUUCGUUUUAUAGUUACAGUGAAUAUACGGUGAAAUUCAUACUA